AGCUUCCUGGAAUGUUCGACACUCUUGAAUUUUUGAACCUACAAUACUUUAAACGGGAUUCCUAUAUUUGUGAUCGGAUGUCAGGCCGUCCCUGCUGGGUUUUCCCCAGUACAAUGUUCUACAUUACAACGGAGGGCAGAAGACCACGUGCGGUUGCCCACCUAGCAUGUGCUAGGAGUCAAAAAUCAGGAACCGGCAUUUUGGGGGUUU
rnacentral:other from 1 species